rnacentral:tRNA from 1 species
UCUAAAAUGGCAGAUAAAUGCGUAAGAUUUAAGCUCUUAUAAUGGAACACAUGGGUUUCUUUUAGAA